rnacentral:rRNA from 1 species
GCUUCGCUGACGAGUGGCGGACGGGUGAGUAAUGUCUGGGAAACUGCCUGAUGGAGGGGGAUAACUACUGGAAACGGUAGCUAAUACCGCAUAACGUCGCAAGACCAAAGAGGGGGACCUUCGGGCCUCUUGCCAUCGGAUGUGCCCAGAUGGGAUUAGCUAGUAGGUGGGGUAACGGCUCACCUAGGCGACGAUCCCUAGCUGGUCUGAGAGGAUGACCAGCCACACUGGAACUGAGACACGGUCCAGACUCCUACGGGAGGCAGCAGUGGGGAAUAUUGCACAAUGGGCGCAAGCCUGAUGCAGCCAUGCCGCGUGUAUGAAGAAGGCCUUCGGGUUGUAAAGUACUUUCAGCGGGGAGGAAGGCGAUAAGGUUAAUAACCUUGUCGAUUGACGUUACCCGCAGAAGAAGCACCGGCUAACUCCGUGCCAGCAGCCGCGGUAAUACGGAGGGUGCAAGCGUUAAGCGGAAUUACUGGGCGUAAAGCGCACGCAGGCGGUCUGUCAAGUCGGAUGUGAAAUCCCCGGGCUCAACCUGGGAACUGCAUUCGAAACUGGCAGGCUAGAGUCUUGUAGAGGGGGGUAGAAUUCCAGGUGUAGCGGUGAAAUGCGUAGAGAUCUGGAGGAAUACCGGUGGCGAAGGCGGCCCCCUGGACAAAGACUGACGCUCAGGUGCGAAAGCGUGGGGAGCAAA